rnacentral:rRNA from 1 species
AUUGAACGCUGGCGGCAUGCCUUACACAUGCAAGUCGAACGGCAGCACGGGAGCAAUCCUGGUGGCGAGUGGCGAACGGGUGGGUAAUGUAUCGGAACGUACCUUCAGUGGGGGAUAACGUAGCGAAAGUUACGCUAAUACCGCAUAUUCUGUGAGCAGGAAAGCAGGGGAUCGCAAGACCUUGCGCUGAUUGAGCGGCCGAUAUCAGAUUAGCUAGUUGGUGAGGUAAAGGCUCACCAAGGCGACGAUCUGUAGCGGGUCUGAGAGGAUGAUCCGCCACACUGGAACUGAGACACGGUCCAGACUCCUACGGGAGGCAGCAGUGGGGAAUUUUGGACAAUGGGCGCAAGCCUGAUCCAGCCAUGCCGCGUGAGUGAAGAAGGCCUUCGGGUUGUAAAGCUCUUUCAGCCGGGAAGAAAACGCAUGGGUUAAUACCCUGUGUGGAUGACGGUACCGGAAUAAGAAGCACCGGCUAACUACGUG